UGGGCCCUGCUUGAUUAGCACUUUCGCUGUUUUCAAGAGUCCUGGAGUGUUUUGUUCAAGUGGAAAACAGGGACCUGGCCUGUUUCUAUUUUAACUCUCGUCACAUCCUAAGAGGUCAGUGGGAAAUGGAGAAUAAACAGCUGCUGCAGACAUCAGGACAAGUGUAAAUUAAAUGGUUGCUGUUCACUGCCAAACAUUUGAAAACAGAAUUUUAAAAAGAGAGACCGUGAUAUGGUGAAGAACUACAGCGUUCACCAGCAGGAAUGAUCCGGUUUUGUGUUGACCCUGCAAUAAUAUUCUAAGGCAAGGGAGACUUCUUAAAGCACAAGUCCCGGGGUUUUUUUUGGGGGGGGGAAAUAGUGUGACAAUUGUUGCUUACAUUAAAAGCAUAGCUUCGAUCACAUUGUGAGCUUCAGUGUGAUCUCCUUCAGAUUGCUAAGAAUCGCACCUUUAAAAUAUCACACCGUUAACAAAAGAGAACAGGUUUCUAGUCCUUAUGAUUCCGAAGACAAUUGAAGGCAGCAUCUGUUAAUAAUUCUGAGUUGGAAGAGGUGGCAUCGUUCGUCCUAGCUUUCAUCCCAAUUAUUCCUAACCCUAAAUCCUAUUCACGUAUCCAUAGAUAACCCGUUAACCCUGCCUCUCCAUAUCCAUUAUUGUUCUGUUAUUCAGAUCUCCGUGGUCCCACUUUGAAAACUGCUUUCCCAUUGUUUCUCUUGCACCAGUUAGUUUCACCUUCUUUGAAAUUUCCUGUUAACAGUGUAAGCCAGGCAUCCCCAAACUUUGGCCCUCCAGAUGUUUUGGCCUACAACUCCCAUGUUCCCUAGCUAACAGGA